AAUGGGUCAGCGACUUAUAUUCUGUAGCAAGGUUAACCGAAUAGGGGAGCCGAAGGGAAACCGAGUCUUAACUGGGCGUUAAGUUGCAGGGUAUAGACCCGAAACCCGGUGAUCUAGCCAUGGGCAGGUUGAAGGUUGGGUAACACUAACUGGAGGACCGAACCGACUAAUGUUGAAAAAUUAGCGGAUGACUUGUGGCUGGGGGUGAAAGGCCAAUCAAACCGGGAGAUAGCUGGUUCUCCCCGAAAGCUAUUUAGGUAGCGCCUCGUGAAUUCAUCUCCGGGGGUAGAGCACUGUUUCGGCAAGGGGGUCAUCCCGACUUACCAACCCGAUGCAAACUGCGAAUACCGGAGAAUGUUAUCACGGGAGACACACGGCGGGUGCUAACGUCCGUCGUGAAGAGGGAAACAACCCAGACCGCCAGCUAAGGUCCCAAAGUCAUGGUUAAGUGGGAAACGAUGUGGGAAGGCCCAGACAGCCAGGAUGUUGGCUUAGAAGCAGCCAUCAUUUAAAGAAAGCGUAAUAGCUCACUGGUCGAGUCGGCCUGCGCGGAAGAUGUAACGGGGCUAAACCAUGCACCGAAGCUGCGGCAGCGACGCUUAUGCGUUGUUGGGUAGGGGAGCGUUCUGUAAGCCUGUGAAGGUGUGCUGUGAGGCAUGCUGGAGGUAUCAGAAGUGCGAAUGCUGACAUAAGUAACGAUAAAGCGGGUGAAAAGCCCGCUCGCCGGAAGACCAAGGGUUCCUGUCCAACGUUAAUCGGGGCAGGGUGAGUCGACCCCUAAGGCGAGGCCGAAAGGCGUAGUCGAUGGGAAACAGGUUAAUAUUCCUGUACUUGGUGUUACUGCGAAGGGGGGACGGAGAAGGCUAUGUUGGCCGGGCGACGGUUGUCCCGGUUUAAGCGUGUAGGCUGGUUUUCCAGGCAAAUCCGGAAAAUCAAGGCUGAGGCGUGAUGACGAGGCACUACGGUGCUGAAGCAACAAAUGCCCUGCUUCCAGGAAAAGCCUCUAAGCAUCAGGUAACAUCAAAUCGUACCCCAAACCGACACAGGUGGUCAGGUAGAGAAUACCAAGGCGCUUGAGAGAACUCGGGUGAAGGAACUAGGCAAAAUGGUGCCGUAACUUCGGGAGAAGGCACGCUGAUAUGUAGGUGAAGCGACUUGCUCGUGGAGCUGAAAUCAGUCGAAGAUACCAGCUGGCUGCAACUGUUUAUUAAAAACACAGCACUGUGCAAACACGAAAGUGGACGUAUACGGUGUGACGCCUGCCCGGUGCCGGAAGGUUAAUUGAUGGGGUCAGCGCAAGCGAAGCUCUUGAUCGAAGCCCCGGUAAACGGCGGCCGUAACUAUAACGGUCCUAAGGUAGCGAAAUUCCUUGUCGGGUAAGUUCCGACCUGCACGAAUGGCGUAAUGAUGGCCAGGCUGUCUCCACCCGAGACUCAGUGAAAUUGAACUCGCUGUGAAGAUGCAGUGUACCCGCGGCAAGACGGAAAGACCCCGUGAACCUUUACUAUAGCUUGACACUGAACAUUGAGCCUUGAUGUGUAGGAUAGGUGGGAGGCUUAGAAGUGUGGACGCCAGUCUGCAUGGAGCCGACCUUGAAAUACCACCCUUUAAUGUUUGAUGUUCUAACGUUGACCCGUAAUCCGGGUUGCGGACAGUGUCUGGUGGGUAGUUUGACUGGGGCGGUCUCCUCCUAAAGAGUAACGGAGGAGCACGAAGGUUGGCUAAUCCUGGUCGGACAUCAGGAGGUUAGUGCAAUGGCAUAAGCCAGCUUGACUGCGAGCGUGACGGCGCGAGCAGGUGCGAAAGCAGGUCAUAGUGAUCCGGUGGUUCUGAAUGGAAGGGCCAUCGCUCAACGGAUAAAAGGUACUCCGGGGAUAACAGGCUGAUACCGCCCAAGAGUUCAUAUCGACGGCGGUGUUUGGCACCUCGAUGUCGGCUCAUCACAUCCUGGGGCUGAAGUAGGUCCCAAGGGUAUGGCUGUUCGCCAUUUAAAGUGGUACGCGAGCUGGGUUUAGAACGUCGUGAGACAGUUCGGUCCCUAUCUGCCGUGGGCGCUGGAGAACUGAGGGGGGCUGCUCCUAGUACGAGAGGACCGGAGUGGACGCAUCACUGGUGUUCGGGUUGUCAUGCCAAUGGCACUGCCCGGUAGCUAAAUGCGGAAGAGAUAAGUGCUGAAAGCAUCUAAGCACGAAACUUGCCCCGAGAUGAGUUCUCCCUGACCCUUUAAGGGUCCUGAAGGAACGUUGAAGACGACGACGUUGAUAGGCCGGGUGUGUAAGCGCAGCGAUGCGUUGAGCUAACCGGUACUAAUGAACCGUGAGG
rnacentral:rRNA from 1 species